GGUGCGUUAGUUCAGAAGAGUAGAACGCUGCCCUGUCACGGCAGAGGUCAGGGGUUCAAGUCCCCUACGCAUCGCCA
rnacentral:tRNA from 1 species